AUUGAACGCUGGCGGAAUGCUUUACACAUGCAAGUCGAACGGCAGCACGGACUUCGGUCUGUUGGCGAGUGGCGCACGGGUGAGUAAUGUAUCGGAACGUGCCCAGUCGUGGGGGAUAACGUAGUGAAAAUUACGCUAAUACCGCAUACUAUCUAUGGAUGAAAGCGGGGGAUCGCCAGACCUCGCGCGAUUGGAGCGGCCGAUAUCAGAUUAGGUAGUUGGUGGGGUAAAGGCCCACCAAGCCAACGAUCUGUAGCUGGUCUGAGAGGACGACCAGCCACACUGGAACUGAGACACGGUCCAGACUCCUACGGGAGGCAGCAGUGGGGAAUUUUGGACAAUGGGCGAAAGCCUGAUCCAGCCAUUCCGCGUGCAGGAUGAAGGCCCUCGGGUUGUAAACUGCUUUUGUACAGAACGAAAAGGUUUCUACUAAUACUAGGAGCUCAUGACGGUACUGUAAGAAUAAGCACCGGCUAACUACGUGCCAGCCGCCGCAGUAA
rnacentral:rRNA from 1 species